GAUGAACGCUAGCUACAGGCUUAACACAUGCAAGUCGAGGGGAAACGCCAUCGAAAGCUUGCUUUAGAUGGGCGUCGACCGGCGCACGGGAGAGAAACGCGUAUCCAACCUGCCCAUCACUUGGGGACGACCUUGCGAAAGUAAGACUAAUACCCACUGAUAUCUCUAGAAGACAUCUGAAAGAGAUUCAUGAUUUAUCGGUGAUGGAUGGGGAUGCGUCUGAUUAGCUUGUUGGCGGGGUAACGGCCCACCAAGGCAACGAUCAGUAGGGGAUCUGAGAGGAAGGACCCCCACAUUGGAACUGGGCCCCGGUCCAAACUGCUACGGGAGGCAGCAGUGAAGGGUAUUGGGCAGUGGGCGAGAGCCUGAACCAGCCAAGUAGCGGACAGGAAGACGGGCCUUUGAGUUGUAAACUGCUUUUAUAAGGGAAUACAGUGAGAGUCGUGGCUCUUUUGGCGUGUACCUUAUAAAUAGAAACCGCCUACUUCCGU
rnacentral:rRNA from 1 species